GGCAUGAGUAAGGGUGAAGUCCAACAUGCACAUGGCUGUUCACAGGGCUGAACCCCUCUCCAAAUGUCCUCCUCAGCAAAUGCAGUGGUUGAGGCCAUGAAUAAAAGAUCUCCACUGGGCUCAGUGCUCUGCCCAGGCUCAGUUCAUUUCUACUUACUGAUUAUUACUCACCGAAUGUAAAGUCUGUAGAAGUCUAACUAAUUGGUCACCGUGUUCUGGUGGCUGCACCCUGUGGGAGAUCGAUUGCUGGGGCUCAGGGUUUGUGUGUUCCUGCAGCAGGAUGCUGAGCUGCUGAGCUGCUGCCUGUCCAUUCCACACUUCUUUGGACCCAAAGCUUUCUGAUGAGGGAUUUCCAGGCACUGGGAGGUUGUAGAUAUUUCUCUAUAAAUUCUCUUCUUAGUGCACUGAACUCGGAGAAAACUUUUAAUUAUUGCCAGAACAUUUCUUGCGAAUAGCAAUAAAAGUGUGAAGCUGAUUAAAAAAAAAAAAGGGGGAGAUCAAGGAGAAGUUCCAUUUCUGAAAGCAAGCUGCUGACUGUGUUCUAACAAGUGAGCCUAUGUUCUGCUUAACAGCCCCUAAGUCAGGGAUACAAGACACCCUUCUGUCCAGAGUGCAGUGAGUAAAAGCUUGCUUUUGGCUUCAGCUGGCUCUGGAACCCCAGAGCUGACCCCCACUCAGUCUUUUCCCAUCCCUCAGUCUCCCUGUCCCCGUGUAGGGUUGGUGCCAGAGCCAUCUCUCUGUGAGCUCAGCACUGUGACUGUUCAGCAGAUGCAAAGUGCUGUGACUUGCAGGGGAUUAGCAAAAACCACCUUGCUGCUGUUCUGCCCCACAGUUCUGUACCCGCAGGCAGGCUCUGACAGCCGGGAAACAUUCAGAAAAUGAGUGUGUGUGUAACAUCUGCAUGCACCAGCUGAUUGCAGGGCUCUGUGGGGUCGCAGCUGGAGAUCCCUCUUUACAUGCAGGCACUCGUGUUCAAUGAUGUGCUUGACUCUUCUUUCUUUGGUUGGUGGAGUGCUUGCUCUUGCAGGGGAUGCAACAUCUCCACUGCAGUAAGUGACAAAGAGGGGUGAGGGCCGUAUAACCGUAAGGAUCACCUGGUGCUUGUCGGCACAGCUAAUCCCUUGCCUGUUUCAUCUCUGAUUCUCCCGGCUGAGGAACAAAGCCUGCAAGGAACCAACUUAAAAAAAAAUAAUAAUAAUGCCUGAAACUAAAGGAAAUCAAAAGCAAAUUAUUUCCCAGAUUAUAGCCCUCCAGAGCUGCUGAGAUAUUGCCUAUUUUUCACAGCAGACAAAAACAUUUUCCUGGGGAUCAAUUUAGCUUCCAGAAGUCGGCUCCUUUCAACCCAUAAUCCAUCAUAUUUCCCCAUUUGCAAUCUCUCUGUGUCUGAGUGUUUUAAGUUUCCUAUGAAUUAUUUUAUAAAGAGUAUAAAGAGGCCUUUCUUUCUGCUGAAAUGAGGGAGUUGCCUUGCUGCCCUAUCAGGUCAGAUACCAUUAGACUGUUGUACAAGGGGGCCCUGCCAUCCAUACCUCCAUAUUGGCAACUACCUUAGUAGUCUCAUCUGUCAAAGAGAUCCAGUAAUCAAUCACUGCGGUGAUCAAUAUGCAGCUUAUGCAUUCAUCAUUCCUUUGAGGAGACUAUUAGGAUGAAGUUGUCAGUGAAACAGGAACAAAGGGAGAAAUACACUGAGAUGGCUGAGGGGUGUGUGCGUGCGCUGGGGCAAGAAGAGGAGCUUAAAGAGAGGAAAUACAGCCCUGCUGAAAAAAGGGAAGGAAUUUUGCACCUUGAGGGAAGGAGAAGUUGGUGACAGAUUUAUCUGGGUGCCCACGAGCACAGUGCAGGAGGUGACUCAUCUCUCAAGAGACGGAGCAGUGUAAAAAUUUCCAGAUCUCUUGAUUGGUGUGUCAGCAUGAUUUGUGGCUGCUCUGCCAAGGUAAAUGGGUACGGAAAGGAGCUGGGCACGAGCAAACCGAGCAGCACAGCGCGGUGUGGGACAGCUUAUGGAUGAACCCACGGGAAGCACAUCGAGGCAGGGAGUGGACUAUUUAUUUAUUGCCUUGAUCUCGUGCCUUUAUUCCAUUUAAUCUGAACCUGGGAAUUAUUGCAAACAUUGAUGUUCACUUCUGCCUGGAAAAACACAGCAGGAUCCCUCCUGGUCUCACAGCACAGCACCUGGAGGCAGUGCUGAUGAGCACAAAAUCCCUGCGUGGGGCAGUGCCACCCAGCUGUGCUCCCGGGGUAGAAGAGGAGAAGGGUGUCCACCACCUGGUGAUGAAAGGAGAGACAGAUACCGUGGGUGCUGGUAGGCAGCUGCUUACUGCCAUCACCCUGCUGAUGCCCAGCCCUUGUGCCUUGGGCACUGGAUUUCUGCCAUGAGAGGAGUGGGGCUGGCACCCAGCUCUGUAAGUCCAGUAGAGUUAUGGGGAAAGAGUUAAUUCAGCCGGGCCCUUGGGAAGUUGUAGGCUCACUUCUGAUUAUUCCUUUGUCUGGAUGGCAGAGCCAUUAUUUAGUCUCUAUAAUAAUUUACAUUAAUUGGAUGUAAUGCAUAACAAAUUUAUGAGACUGAGGCUAGGCUCAGCUUUUGCAUGAAACUCAUCAUUAUGAUGUGCUGACCAAGCACUGUGGGCAAAGGAACAGAAAAGUGCAACUACAUUCUCCUUGUACCCCUGCCACCCCCCCCAAUGCCCACAGAAGCCCCUUGCUGGUCCCUGUGGCUCUGCUGCUCCGUUAGGAGGCCAACUUCAGACCCAUCAGCAGAACCAAUGGCCCUGCCGAUGUCCCAAAAGGCAGCAAUGGAGAUCUUCCUUCCUUCCUUCUCCCCACAUCACUUUCCCCUCCUGUGGGAGGUACAGCUCGCACCACUGGGAAAGGGGAUAUGGCUGUAUGUGCCACGGGUUGCCUCCUUUUUGGUUGCAUGCUGAACUGAAAGAGAAAAAAGCCUGAAGAUUUCUCCAGCAGAGCAGGAGGGCUGAGCCAGGUCACUGCAACCAGUGGGGCCAGGAGGCUCUGACCAGGUCAGCAAGGCUUUGGAAACAAAGAGGCAAUGGCCAGCAGCAUGAUCCGUGGUGCUAAUUAGUUUGACCCCAGUGACUGCAUCUUAAAGCAACACGGCUGACCUCUGACCGCCGACUCCUUCCGCUGUGAUCCAAUAAAAGUCGAAGGAAUGAAUUUUGCUUAGCAUGUGGCCCCAGGGUAUUUAUCCCUUAACUAAUUUGUAAGAAACCUCGGAAAUCACAGAAUCCUUCCAUUAACCUUCGUGUCCAUACUUUACAAGGUGCGGUUUCCCUCUCCGAUGCAAAGACCUUUCAUAAACACAGCAUCACCCCCCCACUGCUGCCCAGUGUGCCCACCCAGGGAUGCUCCUCCUGAGGCCAUCAACCAGUUUUUUCAUGGGAAUAGAGAAUAACCCCGAGGUGAAGCCCAUCUGGUUCCAUUUUGGGUGCUCCCUUCCCCUAUCCUGACUGAGGAAUGGAUCUGACGUUCCAUGAUGGUCCAACCAGUGACCACGAGUCCCAAGUCCUUCUCUCUUGUCAGCCACUUCCAGGGUGCCAUGCAUCUUAGUCCUUCGUGCCAGUAAUUUAUUAGGGAAUUAAGUGUAUUGCAUAGGAAUCGUGCCAGUAAUGCUUCGCCAGUAUAUGUACAACACUUUGUUAAUUAAAAGUAUUAGGCAAUAU
ensembl:lncRNA